rnacentral:rRNA from 1 species
GACGAACGCUGGCGGCGUGCUUAACACAUGCAAGUCGAACGGGAUCCCAAGGCUUUUUGUUUUUGGUGCGAGUGGCGAACGGGUGAGUAACACGUGAGUAACCUGCCCCCUUCUUUUGGAUAACCGCAUGAAAGUGUGGCUAAUACAGGAUAUUCCAGGCUGGUCGCAUGAUUGGUUUGGGAAAUGGUUUGGUCUGGUGGGGGAUGGGCUCGCGGCCUAUCAGCUUGUUGGUGGGGUGAUGGCCUACCAAGGCGGUGACGGGUAGCCGGCCUGGGAGGGUGGGCGGUCACACUGGGACUGAGAUACGGGCCAGACACCUACGGGAGGCAGCAGUGGGGGAUUUUGCACAAUGGGCGCAAGCCUGAUGCAGCGACGUGGCGUGAGGGAUGAAGGCGUUCGGGUUGUAACCCUCUGUCGCUGGGUUGAAAGGCCAUGGUUGGGGUGUGGUUGAUUUGAACUGGUAAAGAAGAACCGGCUAACUACGUG